UACGAAGGGGGCUAGCGUUGUUCGGAUUUACUGGGCGUAAAGCGCACGUAGGCGGAUUGGUCAGUUAGGGGUGAAAUCCUGGAGCUCAACUCCAGAACUGCCUUUAAUACUGCCAGUCUCGAGUCCGGAAGAGGUAAGUGGAACUCCUAGUGUAGAGGUGGAAUUCGUAGAUAUUAGGAAGAACACCAGUGGCGAAGGCGGCUACUGGUCCGGUACUGACGCUGAGGUGCGAAAGCGUGGGGAGCAAACAGG
rnacentral:rRNA from 1 species